rnacentral:rRNA from 1 species
AGAACGAACGCUGGCGGCAUGCCUAACACAUGCAAGUCGAACGCUUCCGGGGCUUCGGUCGCGGAGGAGUGGCGCACGGGUGAGUAGCGCGUGGGAACCUGCCCUGUUGUGGGGGAUAACCGAGGGAAACUUCGGCUAAUACCGCAUACGCCCCGGGACUUGGUCUUCGGAUUAGGUCUGGGGGGAAAGAUUGAUCGCAGCAGGAGGGGCUCGCGGCCUAUCAGCUUGUUGGGGGGUAACGCCCACAAGGCGACGACGGGUA